rnacentral:tRNA from 1 species
GGACGUGUGCCUGAAAAAGGGCUACAUUGAUGGUGUAGAAAUAGAGGCCACACCCUCUCACCUCCU